CUUCCCUGCAGGUGGAUGUCCAGCUUCAAGUGGCAGUGCCGCAGCCAGGCCGCUACGCCCUAGUGGUGGAGUACGCCAAUGAGGAUGCCCGCCAGGAGGUGGGCGUGGCCGUGCACACCCCACAGCGGGCCCCCCAGCAGGGGCUGCUCUCCCUGCACCCCUGCCUGUACAGCACCCUGUGCCGGGGCACUGCCCGGGAUACCCAGGACCACCUGGCUGUCUUCCACCUGGACUCGGAGGCCAGCGUGAGGCUCACAGCCGAGCAGGCACGCUUCUUCCUGGUAAGGACCCCUCAGGUCCCCACUCCAAGGGGUCAGCUUCUUUCAGAAGAUUUGAAACAUGCAUGAGAGGGGAGAGGACAGUUGGGGUCCCAGGUCCCCAA
rnacentral:lncRNA from 1 species